CCCUGUAGUUUUCAAACUUUACUGUGCAGAAGAAUUAGCCAGAGAGAUUGCUAAAAAUGCAGAUCACCUGGCCUAAGCCCCAGAGAUUUGGAUUCAGGAGGUUAAGGAAAGGGCCCAGGAAACUGUGUGUUAAUCAGCACCACCUGCAAUGCUGAUAUGGUGACCCAGGACUUACCUGCGGAAGUGCUCUAGGUUCUGGGGAGCAGCCGUUUAUCGUCCAGGACCCACAUCCUCCUACCUCACCCAGGGCUACUGCCCAGCGCCUGAUGAGGAAAGCCACAAUUGCACUCACAGAGGAUGAGAAAGAGGCAAAAAGCAGAGAUUCUGGAACCACAUGAAGUAGGAUUUGAAAAUCUGUUCCUUUUCUUACAGGAGUGGCCAUAUAAAUUAUCCAAAGCAGGACACUUCUGAGAGUAAAAGGGAAAUUAAUAAUUAUUCCCAGGCAAUAGACAUAAACUGAGACUGUCCCAGGCAAACUGGAUGUGGGAUCAUUGUAGCAGAUGCUGAUGGUGACCUUAGUUCUCUGGUGCUGAGAGCUGCUUACCGCAAGCACCUGUGGAGCAUGAGCAGCCUGAGCACAGGACAAGCAGGAAGGGUGGAGGGUUAAUGUCCCUGAAGCAGCAUCAACCAAUGGCAGAUAAGGGAUCUAUAUAUGAACACCGUAGUGUUCUUGCCUCUAGGAUGGAAUAGUAACUCUUAAGAGUGUUCUGCUCUAUCUCCGAGAGUUCCCCAGCAAGACAGAGCCCCAAUUGCUCAUCAUGCACUUGGGCAAACAGCUGAUAGGAGUUCAUUUUGUGAAGCUGUCACGAGUUUUCCAGUAGACCAUGAGCUUGCUGAUGGCAGGAGCCUGCCUGUCCUUGAUCCUUGUUUCUGUGGGGUCUAUCCCAGUGCCUGGCACAGUGGCUUUGGAGAUGGAAGGAAUAGAGGGAGAUCCUCAAACACAGCCUGCAUCUCUCCCUGCUCCCCUCCCACCCUCCAGUUUUCCAGCCAGAGGCAUUUGCUCUAAGGCCCAGGCUGUGGCCCACCUAUCACCGCUACCCAAGUAGUACAGGAAAAGGAAAUUUGAAGAGGAAAAGAGGCACCAGGGAUGAGGACACACCGAGAAAAGACCAUGUGAAGACAUGGCGAGAAGACAGCCAGCUGCAAGCCAAGGAGUGAGGCCUCAGAAGAAACCAACCCUGCCGACACCUUGACCUUGGACUUCUAGUCUCUAGAAUUAUGCGAAAAUAAAUUCCUGUUGUUUAAGCCACCCACUCUGUAGUAUUUUGUUAUGGCAGCCCCAAGCAAACUAAUACAGUAUCCUUGAAGAAAGAAGAAUUAUAAAACCUAACAGUUAAGGGGCAGUUAAUUGACAUAUUAAUAAUUCAUUUAGUCUUCUCUUCACAGAAACUCUCUAUAGGAGUUAUUACCAUUUAUCACCAUUUUACAGAGGAGAAAACUGAGGCACAAGAGGUCAAGUAACCUGCUUCAAAGUCAUAACUAGUAAGUGACAGAGGCAGUUUCUUCACUCUCAGUCCUCUAAAAAGCAAAGCCCAAGGUUAAAGUGCUGACAUUUAGU
rnacentral:lncRNA from 1 species